AAACGCGAAGAACCUUACCAGGUCUUGACAUCCUCUGACAACCCUAGAGAUAGGGCUUCCCCUUCGGGGGCAGAGUGACAGGUGGUGCAUGGUUGUCGUCAGCUCGUGUCGUGAGAUGUUGGGUUAAGUCCCGCAACGAGCGCAACCCUUGAUCUUAGUUGCCAGCAUUCAGUUGGGCACUCUAAGGUGACUGCCGGUGACAAACCGGAGGAAGGUGGGGAUGACGUCAAAUCAUCAUGCCCCUUAUGACCUGGGCUACACACGUGCUACAAUGGGCAGAACAAAGGGCAGCGAAGCCGCGAGGCUAAGCCAAUCCCACAAAUCUGUUCUCAGUUCGGAUCGCAGUCUGCAACUCGACUGCGUGAAGCUGGAAUCGCUAGUAAUCGCGGAUCAGCAUGCCGCGGUGAAUACGUUCCCGGGUCUUGUACACACCGAA
rnacentral:rRNA from 1 species